rnacentral:rRNA from 2 species
UCGAACGGUAACAGGAAAUAGCUUGCUAUUUUGCUGACGAGUGGCGCACGGGUGCGUAACGCGUAUACAAUCUACCUUUUGCUGAGGGAUAGCCCAGAGAAAUUUGGAUUAAUACCUCAUGGUAUUAUUGGUAGGCAUCUAUUAAUAAUUAAAGGUUACGGCAAAAGAUGAGUAUGCGUCCCAUUAGCUAGUUGGUGAAGUAACGGUUCACCAAGGCAACGAUGGGUAGGGGUCCUGAGAGGGAGAUCCCCCACACUGGUACUGAGACACGGACCAGACUCC